rnacentral:rRNA from 1 species
GAUGAACGCUGGCGGCGUGCCUAAUACAUGCAAGUCGAGCGAACGGACGAGAAGCUUGCUUCUCUGAUGUUAGCGGCGGACGGGUGAGUAACACGUGGAUAACCUACCUAUAAGACUGGGAUAACUUCGGGAAACCGUAGCUAAUACCGGAUAAUAUUUUGAACCGCAUGGUUCAAAAGUGAAAGACGGUCUUGCUGUCACUUAUAGAUGGAUCCGCGCUGCAUUAGCUAGUUGGUAAGGUAACGGCUUACCAAGGCAACGAUGCAUAGCCGAUCUGAGAGGGUGAUCGGCCACACUGGAACUGAGACACGGUCCAGACUCCUACGGGAGGCAGCAGUAGGGAAUCUGCCGCAAUGGGCGAAAGCCUGACGGAGCAACGCCGCGUGAGUGAUGAAGGUCUUCGGAUCGUAAAACUCUGUUAUUAGGGAAGAACAUAUGUGUAAGUAACUGUGCACAUCUUGACGGUACCUAAUCAGAAAGCCACGGCUAACUACGUG